UAGGGAAUCUUCCGCAAUGGACGAAAGUCUGACGGAGCAACGCCGCGUGAGUGAAGAAGGAUUUCGGUUUGUAAAACUCUGUUGUUAGGGAAGAAAAAAUGUAUAGUAACUAUAUACAAAAGAGACGGUACCUAACCAGAAAGCCACGGCUAACUACGUGCCAGCAGCCGCGGUAAUACGUAGGUGGCAAGCGUUGUCCGGAAUUAUUGGGCGUAAAGCGCGCGCAGGUGGUUUAGAAAGUCUGAUGUGAAAGCCCACGGCUCAACCGUGGAGGGUCAUUGGAAACUAAUAAACUUGAGUGAAGGAGAGAAGAGUGGAAUUCCUAGUGUAGCGGUGAAAUGCGUAGAGAUUAGGAGGAACACCGGUGGCGAAAGCGGCUUUUUGGCCUGCAACUGACACUGAGGCGCGAAAGCGUGGGGAGCGAACAGG
rnacentral:rRNA from 1 species